rnacentral:rRNA from 1 species
GUGGGGAAUCUUGCGCAAUGGGCGAAAGCCUGACGCAGCCAUGCCGCGUGAAUGAUGAAGGUCUUAGGAUUGUAAAAUUCUUUCACCGGGGACGAUAAUGACGGUACCCGGAGAAGAAGCUCCGGCUAACUUCGUGCCAGCAGCCGCGGUAAUACGAAGGGGGCUAGCGUUGCUCGGAAUUACUGGGCGUAAAGGGCGCGUAGGCGGACAGCUUAGUCAGAGGUGAAAGCCCAGGGCUCAACCUUGGAAUUGCCUUUGAUACUGGCUGUCUUGAGUUUGGGAGAGGUGAGUGGAGCUCCGAGUGUAGAGGUGAAAUUCGUAGAUAUUCGGAAGAACACCAGGGGCGAAGGCGACUCACUGGCCCAAUACUGACGCUGAGGCGCGAAAGCGUGGGGAGCAAACAGGAUUAGAAACCCUAGUAGUCC